rnacentral:rRNA from 1 species
AGUGAACGCUGGCGGUAGGCCUAACACAUGCAAGUCGAACGGCAGCACAGUAAGAGCUUGCUCUUACGGGUGGCGAGUGGCGGACGGGUGAGGAAUACAUCGGAAUCUACUUUUUCGUGGGGGAUAACGUAGGGAAACUUACGCUAAUACCGCAUACGACCUACGGGUGAAAGCAGGGGAUCUUCGGACCUUGCGCGAUUGAAUGAGCCGAUGUCGGAUUAGCUAGUUGGCGGGGUAAAGGCCCACCAAGGCGGCGAUCCGUAGCUGGUCUGAGAGGAUGAUCAGCCACACUGGAACUGAGACACGGUCCAGACUCCUACGGGAGGCAGCAGUGGGGAAUAUUGGACAAUGGGCGCAAGCCUGAUCCAGCCAUACCACGUGGGUGAAGAAGGCCUUCGGGUUGUAAAGCCCUUUUGUUGGGAAAGAAAAGCAGCAGGUUAAUACCCCGCUGUUCUGACGGUACCCAAAGAAUAAGCACCGGCUAACUUCGUG